UACGAAGGGGGCUAGCGUUGCUCGGAUUGACUGGGCGUAAGGGCGCGUAGGCGGUUCGUACAGUCAGACGUGAAAUUCCUGGGCUCAACCUGGGGGCUGCGUUUGAUACGUGCGGACUUGAGUGCGGAAGAGGGUCGUGGAAUUCCCAGUGUAGAGGUGAAAUUCGUAGAUAUUGGGAAGAACACCGGUGGCGAAGGCGGCGACCUGGUCCGAUACUGACGCUGAGGCGCGAAAGCGUGGGGAGCAAACAGG
rnacentral:rRNA from 1 species